UACGGGGGGGGCAAGCGUUGUUCGGAAUUACUGGGCGGAAAGGGCUCGUAGGCGGCCAACUAAGUCAGACGUGAAAUCCCUCGGCUUAACCGGGGAACUGCAUCUGAUACUGGAUGGCUUGAGUUCGGGAGAGGGAUGCGGAAUUCCAGGUGUAGCGGUGAAAUGCGUAGAUAUCUGGAGGAACACCGGUGGCGAAGGCGGCAUCCUGGACCGACACUGACGCUGAGGAGCGAAAGCCAGGGGAGCAAACGGG
rnacentral:rRNA from 1 species